AUCUCUGUAGAGUCUGCAUAUCAAUAAGCGGAGGAAAAGAAACUAACUAGGAUUCCCUCAGUAACGGCGAGUGAAGCGGGAAAAGCUCAAAUUUGAAAUCUUCAAGGUUUUACCUUGACGAAUUGUAGUUUAAAGAAGUGUUUUCUGUUGGAAGUUUUGGUAAAAGUUCUUUGGAAAAAGACAUCAAAGAGGGUGAGAAUCCCGUAUUUGACCAUUAUUUCCAACUUUGUGAUACACUUUCAAAGAGUCGGAUUGUUUGGGAAUGCAGUCCAAAAUGGGUGGUAAAUUUCAUCUAAAGCUAAAUACUGGCGAGAGACCGAUAGCGAACAAGUACCGUGAGGGAAAGAUGAAAAGAACUUUGAAAAGAGAGUUAAACAGUACGUGAAAUUGUCAAAAGGGAAGCGUUUGACACCAGUGUUGUUUUCUCGAAAAUCAAUUAAAAAAGUAUUGGAUUUUGUAUUGUAAUUGACCUUCAUCAGCUUACGGCUACUCUUUUCUUAUUCUUUUUAAUGCACUUUUCGUUUAACAAGUCAACAUCAAUUUCUUUUGUUGUAAAAGGGUCAUUGGAAGGUGGCUUUCUUUUCGGAGAAAGUGUUUAUAGCCUUUGGCCUCUGCAAUCGGAGAGAUUGAGGUCUGCAGCGUAGAUCCUUCGGGGUUAGAUACAUUUGUGCUAAGUUAUAGCCUUUCAUAGACAACUUGUUGACUAUGAUCAGUCAUGUAGCUUACUCGCUUAUGCUAUUUUACCUACGCUUAGGAUGUUGAUCUCUCACAGUCGAGC
rnacentral:rRNA from 1 species